rnacentral:rRNA from 1 species
AGAGUUUGAUCCUGGCUCAGGAUGAACGCUAGCGACAGGCCUAACACAUGCAAGUCGAGGGGCAGCGGAGAGGUAGCAAUACCUUUGCCGGCGACCGGCGCACGGGUGAGUAACACGUAUGCAAUCCACCUGUAACAGGGGGAUAACCCGGAGAAAUCCGGACUAAUACCCCAUAAUAUGGGCUCUCCGCAUGGAGGGUCCAUUAAAGAGAGCAAUUUUGGUUACAGACGAGCAUGCGCUCCAUUAGCCAGUUGGCGGGGUAACGGCCCACCAAAGCGACGAUGGAUAGGGGUUCUGAGAGGAAGGUCCCCCACAUUGGAACUGAGACACGGUCCAAACUCCUACGGGAGGCAGCAGUGAGGAAUAUUGGUCAAUGGACGAGAGUCUGAACCAGCCAAGUAGCGUGAAGGAUGAAGGUCCUACGGAUUGUAAACUUCUUUUAUAAGGGAAUAAACCCUCCCACGUGUGGGAGCUUGUAUGUACCUUAUGAAUAAGCAUCGGCUAACUCCGUGCCAGCAGCCGCGGUAAUACGGAGGAUGCGAGCGUUAUCCGGAUUUAUUGGGUUUAAAGGGAGCGCAGACGGGUCGUUAAGUCAGCUGUGAAAGUUUGGGGCUCAACCUUAAAAUUGCAGUUGAUACUGGCGUCCUUGAGUGCGGUUGAGGUGUGCGGAAUUCGUGGUGUAGCGGUGAAAUGCUUAGAUAUCACGAAGAACUCCGAUUGCGAAGGCAGCACACUAAUCCGUAACUGACGUUCAUGCUCGAAAGUGUGGGUAUCAAACAGGAUUAGAUACCCUGGUAGUCCACACGGUAAACGAUGAAUACUCGCUGUUUGCGAUAUACGGCAAGCGGCCAAGCGAAAGCGUUAAGUAUUCCACCUGGGGAGUACGCCGGCAACGGU